rnacentral:piRNA from 1 species
UGAACUUUGUAUUAAUAUGUAGCA